AGGGUCGCGGCGGGGAGCGUUGAAGGUGCCGGGCGCGAGCCCGCCUGGAGCCCCCGUCGGUGCAGAUCUUGGUGGUAGUAGCAAAUACUCAAGUGAGAACCUUGAGGACUGAAGUUGGAGAAGGGUUCCAUGUGAACAGCAGUUGAACAUGGGUCAGUCGGCCCUAAGGGAUCGGAGAAAUCCGUUCCGAAGCGGGACCUUGACCGGGCUCUAGAGUCCCGCCGCCGACCGAAAGGGAAUGGGGUCAAUAUUCCCCAACCCGGACACGGAGAUCGGAGCUUCGGCUCCAAGUGCGGCGACGCAACCGAACUCGGAGAAGUCGACGGAGGACCCGGGGAAGAGUUGUCUUUUCUUUGUAAGGGUUCGUGUCCCUGGAAUCGGCUCGUCCGGAGAUAGGGACGCUGUCCCCGUAAAAGCACCGCGGCUCUUGCGGUGUCCGGUCCGCCUCUGUCGGCCCUUGCAAAUCCGAGGGAGACGGUGUGAUUUUCGUGCCGGACCGUACCCAUAUCCGCAGCAGGUCUCCAAG
rnacentral:rRNA from 1 species